UUAUAUAGUUGUUCAUUGUUCUUCUUAUUGGCAAACAUGGUUACGGUGAAUAAGAAGAUGAAGGAUAGCUUUUGAGCUAGUAACAAUGAGGGCUCUUUGACUACCAGACAUUCUAUGUGGCAACCUCUGCCACCUCUUUUGUCGCCUCCUCAUCGCAGACCAUAGACCUCACAUAUAGCAACAGAUAGUACUACCGUACAAGCAAAGGUACCGAUGUCAAGUCUGACUGCUCUAGUUGAAACCCCCACUCUGGACACUACCAUGGCAUCCAACAUGUCAUAAUCUAAGGAAAAAGCGUCAAGUCUCAGUUUGUUGACUCGGACUCAUUCGGACCGACAAAUACUUAUACAUUCUCUCAAAGGGAGGUAAGUUCCUCUAGACCAAUUUAUAUCAUUAAUUAUAUGUAGUCAAUUUAGUUACUUAAUUUAUGCAUUUUAUUAACAAUAAGUCUAUUUUUCUUGCACUUUUGAGGAAACUGGUGUUACUCUGAUGAUUACGAGAAUUAUCAAAAGUAAUUUCAUCAAACCUUGACAUGGAGGCAAGUACGUUGGGAGCAUAAGGAUAACAUGUGGUGGAAAUUCAAGAUGUAGGAAUCUUUUACAUGGAUUGCUGCAAAUGCAAUACAGGUUCUGCCCAUAGGGGAAAAGAUUUCUAAGGAUCACCUCAAGGACCUACUAGGGGAUGAGUGCGAUAAGGCUAAGAGGGAAGUAAGUGGCCCCGACAUCGUUCUUGUAUUGACGAAGGGUAAGGCCAAACUCUAGAUCACUACUAAGGUAUGAGACUAUCUAGUCGAUGAUGUAUGGUCCAAGCUCGAGUUGAAGUCACACUCCUGCAAGGCUAGACAGAAUCACCUAACUAAGAAGGACAACAGCUUGUUAAAACAUACCAACAGUUCCUUGCCUUUCACCCUACACCAAUAGCAGCUAGACGAGGAAAAGCAACGCUAAGUCACAUUCUCUGAGCUUUUUGAACGUACUCACAAGUGACAAAAGG